rnacentral:rRNA from 1 species
UAGGGAAUCUUGCGCAAUGGGCGAAAGCCUGACGCAGCGACGCCGCGUGAGUGAUGAAGGCCUUCGGGUUGUAAAGCUCUGUUCUGUGGGAACAAAAAAAUGAGUGUACCACAGGAGAAAGGACCGGCUAACUUCGUGCCAGCAGCCGCGGUAAUACGAGGGGUCCAAGCGUUGUUCGGAAUCAUUGGGCGUAAAGCGGGUGUAGGUGGACUUGUAAGUCAGGAGUGAAAGCCCCAGGCUCAACCUGGGAAGUGCUUUUGAUACUGCUUGUCUUGAGUGUGGGAGAGGAUAGUGGAAUUCCUGGUGUAGUGGUGAAAUACGUAGAUAUCAGGAGGAACACCGGUGGCGAAGGCGGCUAUCUGGCCCAACACUGACACUCAGACCCGAAAGCGUGGGGAGC